CGGGGGUGUUUGGCAGGGAGGGGCUAAAUUUUAGCCCCUGUCACAUCGGAUGUUUGGACACUAAUUAGGAGUAUUAAACAUAGUCUAAUUACAAAACUAAUUGCACAACCCCUAGGCUAAAUCGCGAGACGAAUCUAUUAAGCCUAAUUAGUCCAUGAUUUGACAAUGUGGUGCUACAGUAACCAUUCGCUAAUGAUGGAUUAAUU
rnacentral:lncRNA from 1 species